rnacentral:lncRNA from 1 species
CCUAGACACUUGGCAUGCUCAUGGCUGAACAGGGAAGCUUUGCACAGCUUGAUGUGCAGAGGCACCAGAGGAGUUGCGACGUUGCGGACAUCAAGUCUAGGAGCUUCCUCACACACUUCGAUCAUAUUCACAGCGGCAUGAUUUGGUAGCGGAUUGUCGAGGACAUGUGGAACAUUAUUCUCAAAAGUCAGCUUCCCUUGAUCGAUGAGCUUCUUCACGAU